UAUUAACUUCACUCAUUUUCAAGUCGAUGACUCAAGUUCAUUUCUUCCCUAUUUAUCCCGAUUCCCUAAACUAUCUUCUUUUGUUUUGUAUUUCGAGAAGACGAUAGAAAGGUUUAAGAGUUCACCGGCUUGUUUAUUCGGGUGCACGUCAAAACGUUCGGAGGGUUUUCAUCGUAUAUUGAGAGUAGGACGUCGUCAAUCAUUGCAUGCGGACGCGAUGGAAAUCAACUCUAAGGGACCGUUUUGUGCUGCUCAUCACUUCAUCUCUAGGGAUGGUUUUAUUGCCGUAGCCGGAGUUCGCAGUAGGGACGACGCUGGUGUCCUCCGUAGCUCCUUUCCAAUUCUGCACUCAUAAAUUUAGUAGGACAGAAGGAAUUGUCUCCAGGACAAGGCCGUCUCUGAAGCUAAAAAUAUCCCUCCCUAAGAGUUAUCAGCGACGGCAUAGAUUUCGUCACUAUUAUGUGGGGCGAGGUCGUCCCGUGAUUUUCUAAUGAUCUCCAUCGCCAAAGAUUUUA